CCACCCUUGGUCUAAUGGUUAGGAUAUCUGCGUUCCAAGCAGAUGGUCCGGGUUCAAUUCCCGGACGGUGCA
rnacentral:tRNA from 1 species